UCGCACCUCGGACUUUCGAGCGGGUGGAAUUUCACCCGCUCGACACCCUCUCCUCCCGUCGUAUUUCACCCUUUUCCUUCUCUGCAGCUGCUCCUCCCUGACAAAGAAACUUCUCACCGUCUUCUCACCGUCGCACCAAAGGCCUUUCUCAACGUCGCUGCUCCGCCAUUUCUGCUCCGCUCCUCUGCCGAUUCGCCAACGCCACAGUCGCCUCUCAUCUCCUGCUUAGAAACCUGAUGCGAAGGCGCAAGCCUUGAAAGCAGCAAACAAAGUGAAGUCAGGGCAAAUAAAAAGAAGAUUAAGGCAGCUGUUAGGACAAAAAAGCGCAGGCUUGAAGAUGCCAAGUUGAUUCAUUUGCAGGGUUUUCUCUUUCAUUAAUUCAACCUUGAGAAACAAGCUGAUCACAGGCGUGGCUGGCACUUGGGGACAUGCCCAAGGAGCAAGCCAGGGAAGAGUUCAUCAAUCUCCUGACCUCUCUGUUGCCGGAAUAGAGAGAUUGGUUUGAUAAGAAUUAAGAUUUGGCGUGCUUCGAUGGAGACCGUGGAGAGGUGGGGAGGAUCAUGAAGAGGUUUCACAGCAAGGGAGUGCACUUUAUGGCUAAGAUGUAGAGUUUGGUUGUUGAAUUUUUAGGGUUUGGGGGAGUUGGUACUCGUUAAUACAGAGUCUGGAGUGUAUCUGCGUUCUGUUCUGGUUUCAUGGCCGACCAUAUGCUGUUAUUUGGUAGUAUUGUACACAAUGAAAUGAAGUGAUAAUUUAUUGGUAAACAUAUGUUGGUCGUAUCUUAUUGAACCUUGGGUUUUAUGAAUGCAUCAA